AGAGUUUGAUCCUGGCUCAGAUUGAACGCUGGCGGCAGGCCUAACACAUGCAAGUCGGGCGGUAACAGGUCUUUCGGGAUGCUGACGAGCGGCGGACGGGUGAGUAAAGUCUAGGAAUCUGCCCAGUAGUGGGGGACAACGCGGGGAAACUCGCGCUAAUACCGCAUACGCCCUACGGGGGAAAGGUGCUUUAUUGUACCGCUAUUGGAUGAGCCUAGAUCAGAUUAGCUAGUUGGUGGGGUAAAGGCCCACCAAGGCGACGAUCUGUAGCUGGUCUGAGAGGAUGAUCAGCCACACUGGGACUGAGACACGGCCCAGACUCCUAUCGGGAGGCAGCAGUGGGGAAUAUUGGACAAUGGGGGAAACCCUGAUCCAGCCAUGCCGCGUGUGUGAAGAAGGUCUUCGGAUUGUAAAGCACUUUAAGUUGGGGGGAAGGGGUGAAGUAACGACUCACCUUUGACGUUACCAACAGAAUAAGCACCGGCUAACUUCGUGCCAGCAGCCGCGGUAAUACGAAGGGUGCAAGCGUUAAUCGGAAUAACUGGGCGUAAAGCGCGCGUAGGUGGUUUGUCAAGUUGGAUGUGAAAUCCCCGGGCUCAACCUGGGAACUGCAUCCAAAACUGACUGACUAGAGUACAGUAGAGGUUAGUGGAAUUUCCUGUGUAGCGGUGAAAUGCGUAGAUAUAGGAAGGAACACCAGUGGCGAAGGCGACUAACUGGACUGAUACUGACACUGAGGUGCGAAAGCGUGGGGAGCAAACAGGAUUAGAUACCCUGGUAGUCCACGCUGUAAACGAUGUCAACUAGCCGUUGGGACCCUUGAGGUUUUAGUGGCGCAGCUAACGCAAUAAGUUGACCGCCUGGGGAGUACGGUCGCAAGAUUAAAACUCAAAUGAAUUGACGGGGGCCCGCACAAGCGGUGGAGCAUGUGGUUUAAUUCGAUGCAACGCGAAGAACCUUACCUACUCUUGACAUCCAGAGAAUUUGCUAGAAGAUAGCUUAGUGCCUUCGGGAACUCUGAGACAGGUGCUGCAUGGCUGUCGUCAGCUCGUGUUGUGAAAUGUUGGGUUAAGUCCCGCAACGAGCGCAACCCUUAUCCUUUGUUGCCAGCGCGUAAUGGCGGGAACUCAAAGGAGACUGCCGGUGAUAAACCGGAGGAAGGUGGGGAUGACGUCAAUUCAUCAUGGCCCUUACGAGUAGGGCUACACACGUGCUACAAUGGCAUAUACAAAGGGAAGCAAACUCGCGAGAGCCAGCGGACCUCAUAAGUAUGUCGUAGUCCGGAUCGGAGUCUGCAACUCGACUCCGUGAAGUCGGAAUCGCUAGUAAUCGUAGAUCAGAAUGCUACGGUGAAUACGUUCCCGGGCCUUGUACACACCGCCCGUCACACCAUGGGAGUGGGUUGCAAAAGAAGUAGGUAGCUUAACCUUCGGGAGGGCGCUUACCACUUUGUGAUUCAUGACUGGGGUGAAGUCGUAACAAGGUAACC
rnacentral:rRNA from 1 species